CCUACGGGAUGCUGCAGUGAGGAAUAUUGGUCAAUGGACGAGAGUCUGAACCAGCCAAGUAGCGUGAAGGAUGACUGCCCUAUGGGUUGUAAACUUCUUUUAUAUGGGAAUAAAAUGUUCCACGUGUGGGAUUUUGUAUGUACCAUAUGAAUAAGGAUCGGCUAACUCCGUGCCAGCAGCCGCGGUAAUACGGAGGAUCCGAGCGUUAUCCGGAUUUAUUGGGUUUAAAGGGAGCGUAGGUGGAUUGUUAAGUCAGUUGUGAAAGUUUGCGGCUCAACCGUAAAAUUGCAGUUGAAACUGGCAGUCUUGAGUACAGUAGAGGUGGGCGGAAGUCGUGGUGUAGCGGUGAAAUGCUUAGAUAUCACGAAGAACUCCGAGUGCGAAGGCAGUUCACUGGACUGCAACUGACACUGAGGCUCGAAAGUGUGGGUAUCAAACAGGAUUAGAUACCCCAGUAGUC
rnacentral:rRNA from 1 species